GGCCAAUAAGCCAUCCCAAUGCACUCAACUUAGAAUACAGUAUGCUAAGAAAAAAAACCUGGAAGCAGAGAUACAAACAACCAACAGCACAGUGAAUAGAAAUUCCAAUGAAAAUAGCACAAAUACAAACACACAAAACUUCACAGCACCGCCAAAAAACAACAAAACACACAACUUAACAUUGAAAACUGAAGGCAAGAACUCAAAAGUAAGCAAAGAAAUCUUCAGAUUGCGAUGCUUCUAGAAAAUGCGUAGGAUCACUACACGUGGCAUGGUUGACGAAUUAUUGAUAAUGGAAUUGAUGAUUGCUGCUAGACGCCAAGGACCAUUACUCGGACAUAAAACCCAGGACGUUGCAAUUUUAGAGUCAGAAUCUAAAAUAAAACCAUCAGCACCACAGCACACAUGGGGUAAAUCAACUAGUAAAUCUAGUACUAGUUAAUAAAACGAAACACAAGCCAAAGAAAUAUAAUACAAAAGGAGAAAAUAUAGAAGGGAAGGAACAGUCAACAGACACAUCUAUACAGAUCUGCAAGAAAAUAUUCAAAUGUCGGCACUACUUUUGGGAAAUAGUUCUUCUAAUUUUAU
rnacentral:misc_RNA from 1 species